GUCGAGGUGGCCGAGUGGUCUAAGGCGGCGGCUUUAGGCGCCGUUCCAGAAAUGGGCGCGGGUUCGAACCCCGUCCUCGACA
rfam:Emiliania huxleyi CCMP1516 EMIHTscaffold_10_Cont601, whole genome shotgun sequence.